UACGUAGGCAGCGAGCGUUGUUCGGAUUUACUGGGCGUAAAGCGUGCGUAGGCGGUGGUCCAAGUCUGGUGUGAAAUCUCCCGGCUCAACUGGGAGGGUGCGCCGGAAACUGGGCCGCUGGAGUACGGGAGAGGCAAGCGGAAUUCCAGGUGUAGCGGUGAAAUGCGUAGAUAUCGGGAGGAACACCAGUGGCGAAGGCGACUACCUGGCCUGUUCGUGACGCUGAGGCGCGAAAGCUAGGGGAGCAAACGGG
rnacentral:rRNA from 1 species